rnacentral:piRNA from 1 species
ACUUAGGUCCAUAGGCACAGGUCCGGGGAU